UGCAACAGAUGUUUUUCACUUGCCGAAUGUAAGAAAAUAAAGUUGACCUGAGAUUCAAGUGUUUUGCAAAAAAUUUAAUUUAAUUAAUAAAAAAGGGAGAACCCACAUCGAGAAACACCGGAUAUACAUAUUAUAUAACAAUAUGAAUAAGGUAAGUAAGCGUCAUCUUAGAAGAUUGGUUCGAAAAGAAAGAGAAAAGAACCGUGAAAUGUUGAGGUUAAGUGAAACUGCGCAGAAUAGUGCGUCUGCGCCCAUUGCUAGAGUUGUCGAAAGUGGAGAGGAUGUGCCAGGUAAUGCGGUAAAUGAAGAUUUGAAAAUACCUUUUUGUGAAAAUCUUAAAAUGUGGGCUAUUCGCAAUAAAAUAUCCCACAAAAGCCUUUCCGAACUUUUGACAAUCCUUGCAAAUGAAAAUAUUAAUGUACCUAGAUGCGCAGGAACGAUUUUAAAAAAUUGCUCGCAGAUUAUAGUACAAAAUAUUAGUCCUGGGUUAUUUUGCAACAUUGGCAUUAAAACACAAUUAGAAAAAAUUUCCGGUGAGUUAUUUAAUUAUGAAGCCAUAAUUGUCGAUAUAAAUAUCGAUGGGUUGCCUUUAUACCGCAGCUCUCGUAUGCAAUUAUGGCCAAUUUUGGUUAGAGUUGUGAAUGUGCCAAAUAUAUCUGUGUUUGCUACUGGUCUUUUUGUAGGGCGAAGUAAACCAGAUUCAAUAACAGAAUUUUUAAGUGAAUUUGUUGCAGAAGUUAAAGAGCUUGAAGCUAAUGGUUUUGAAAGUAAUGGGCGGUGCAUUACUUUCAAAAUUAGGGCUUUUGUUUGCGAUGCCCCAGCAAAAUCUUUUCUUUGCGGGAUACCAGGUCAUACUUCACGUCAUGGUUGUCCCAAAUGCACCCAAGUGGGGAAAAAAAUUGACGGCGUACUGACUUUUAGUACGGAGGUUGGAACCCUGAUAUCAAGUAUAGACUUUUCUGAACGCAAAUAUCCAAAUAAACAUUCAUCUAUUUUUGCACAUAAUUUAUCCCCUUUAGAAGAAAUCAAUAUUAAAAUGAUAUCCCAAGUCCCCUUUGAUGUCAUGCACCUCAUUGAUUUAGGUGUUAUGCGCAAGUUUAUUUUACGCAUUAUUAAUAACAACUGCAAUUAUAAGUUCAAGGAAGAAACCAAAAUUAAAAUAUCAACAAAACUAGUAGCCUUAUCUUCGAACAUUACCAAAGAGUUUGUUCGAAAACCUAGAUCUUUUAAUGAAAUUUUAAAUUGGAAAGCUACCGAAUUCCGCAUGUUUCUCCUCUAUUACGGCAUUUAUGUUUUAAAAGAUGAAAUUCCCAACGAAAUAUAUUAUGAAUUUCUCCUUUUACAUUGCGCUUGUAGAUUAUUUUUCUGCCCAAAACAUUAUGCUUCUAACAUUGAUGUGGGGAGAAAUAUGCUAAAAUUAUUUGUGGAAAAUUUUCCAGUAAUUUUUGGGGACAAUAGUGUUUCCUACAAUGUACAUGGGUUACUUCAUGUUCACGAAUAUGUUAAAGAACUAGGUGUACCUUCAAAUUACUCGGCCUACCAAUUUGAAAAUUAUUUACAAAUACUAAAAUCAUACGUUAAAAAACCAACUAAAAUAUUGCAACAAAUAACGAAUAUGUUGAAACACGAAAAAAUUGUAACUGCGCCAAAAUUUACUGGAUUUCAUAUUAAAAACGUUUGUGUAAGUUUUCAUUUUAAAGAUUUCAUCUUAUCCAAUAAAUAUCCCAAUAAUUACUGUUCUCUUGAAUCGUUCCAAUAUAUACUAAUUCAACAAUUUGGGGACGUAAAUAGUAAAACUUUAAAGGGCAAGAAAUUAUUAAAUUUAGAGAAUUUUUUCACAGAACCAAUCGAUUCCUGCACAUUAGGGAUAUGUACUGCAGACACCACUUCAUUUGGCCAUGAAGAGGAAUUUUCUCUCGAUGAUGUUGAAUUCAAAUUGAUGUGCAUUCCAUUUGAGGAGAAAAUUCUUCUCAUUCCCAUUUUACACACUUGCAUGUGAUUUCUUUACGAUCUUUAACUUUCUACUAUUUUAUUUUUUAACUUUUAUAUAACUGAGAUAAAAUCAUUCACUUUUUAUUUUUCUCGAGCACCUUUUUAAAAAAUACGGAGCGCAAAACCCGAUCACGUCGGCGGCGAAAAUCCCGAUAAAAAAGACAAAAUAUACGACCGAGAAUAAAAUGCUGUUA